rnacentral:lncRNA from 1 species
AGGGUUGAUGGAGAAGACGAUACAAUCCCAGAGGCGACCUCAUCUAUUAGAGAAUUACUCCAAGUUGGGGUGAAAACUUCCCGCAUUCCAAAAGUUCGAUGGCAUUGAGAAGGUGAAUCACAGUAGCUAACUCAACGCAAGGAGUGCAAACACUUCAAGUGCUUCAGAAGUGUGAGCAAAGAGCAGGCGAAGGCUAGUAACCAGCUCGAUGCAUGAAGUACAACCUCGAGGAGGCAGGCGAAGUCAAGUAACCUUUGCCUUCUCAACUCUUAAGAGAAUAGGCGAAACCAAGUACCCCAAUUCUCUUAUCUAUCCAGUAGAGGAGCUCUGCACAAGUUCAAAGACCCUUCGAAGAUAAUGGAAGACAAUAGUUGUCAAAUCCUCACCAACGGUGAUCAAUGCUACUAAGAGUAGAUUGUCCGCUUCAUUUCCCAACGAAAUGCCAAUCGAAAGCGG